UUUUUCAAUCUCCUUCCAUCUUAUUGAGGCAGCGUCUCUCAUGGUGCCUGGAGCUUGCCAAUGCCGGCUCGUCUAGCCAGCCAGAUUGCCUGGUGUGCUGUGUGCCUCCUGAGGACUGGGUUACACGUAGCCAACGUCCUUCUUCUGUGGGUCCAUAUUCUUCACCCUGGCAGGCAAACACUGCAGCGAUCUGCCAAGCCCACAGAGGAGACUUUUCCAAACAGCCUGAGGGUGAAUGGUGGAUAAAGUCUGCUUAGCGAGUGUGGUCUGGCUGGGUUCUCCAGAAUCUAUGAGAUAAUCGAUGAGUUCUAAGAAAGCCUGAGGUGGCAUUAAGCCAUCGUGGGGGAGAGCCUAACAAAAACGGUAAACUGAUCUGUUAUCAUUUCCUUGUUUGAUGAAAGCCCACUAAAGAGCAGCUUCAGGGAGGAAGGGUUUGCACCUCAAGGUUUGAGGAUGCAGUUCCUGGUGGGUGAGGCCUGGUGCCCGGAUCUGAGGGAGGCUGGUUACAUUCUGUCCACAGUCAGGAAACAACGGGAGAUGACUGCUUGUGCUGAGCUCACAUUCUCCUUUCUGUUCAGAACUGGAGCCCAGCCAAUCUGGGAACAUCCAGAAGUGGGUUUUCGUGUCACUGUAAAUCCAGGCAAGCUGGUGGUGAAGAUUAGUUACCCAAGAUGGAAGGCCACGGGAAACACGUCAGCAGAAAGCCAAGAUUCCCCUCAACACUACUGGGUUCCAAGAGCCAAGCACCCCAGGGUCAGGACCAGCGAGGAGCCGUUCCACUUCGGCCCUCAUGUCUGCCUCGGGAGGAGUACGGCACCAGUCUGUCUCACUCUUCGCCAGGUGCUGUAGACUUGCACCACAGCCAGUGCAAGGAGGGGGAAGGACAGAGCCUGUGGCCUCACUGAGGAUGAGACGAUGAGGAUGAGACGAUGAGUGAGCGAGCUCCACCCAGCCCCUCCCGCGUGGGGCCAGCACGGAUACCACUGCCUUCCAAAGGGUUUUAACCGCAGUUGAUUGAAUCCCAGAUGCACAAAACUAAUACAAAGCAUCCGCUGUUUGUCAUUUAACUUCUAAAUGUUGGGACCUUUACAAAAUGCCUUAGAUUUUGUAUUUUACUCAAGAAGCUUACUUGGUAUGCACUCAGUGUACUCUAGUUUAUUGAGACAUUUUAUGGUCUAGCAGAUGGUCCUUAACGGUGAGUACUCCAUGUGCCCUUGACUCUUUGGCUGGUUGUCGUGUUGUAUGAAUGUCAACUAUGUCAGGAUGGGUUGAUUGGGCCAUUCAUUUUCUCUAUAUCCUUAGUGGCUUGGGCAAGGCCUACUUGUAAGAGGAUAUUACCUUUAAUUAAAAUUCUAAACCCUUCAUUUCUCUUUAAGCAUUUGUUUCUCAGUAUAAUUUGAAGCUGUAAUUUUGACACACAGUUGUAAAAUCUUUCCGAUGGAUCAGCCCUUUUAUUAUUGUGGAGACAUUGUUCUUUUACUUUGACAAUGGUGUUUGUCUAAAAGUUUCUUUUAGUCUGAUGUUAGGCUAUCAAUUCCACUUGUCACUUGUUUGCGGUUUGCAUAACCCAUCUUUCCUGGUCUUUCGGUCUAAAGCAGUGAUUCUCAGCCUGUGGGCCUCAACCCAUUUGGGCUCCAAUGGCCCUUUCACAGGGGUCAUCUAAGACCAUCUGCAUAUCAUAUAUUAAACCUACAAUUCACAACAGUAGUAGAAUUACAUUAUGAAGUACAACAAAAAUAAUAUUAUGGUUGGGGUCACCACAACAUGAGGAACUGUAUUAAAUGCUGUUUAACUGUAUUAAACAGCAUUGGGAACCUGUUAAUGCCUUUAUAUUUUAAAUGCCUUGAUCCUUGAUUCACAUUUUGGUAUGCUAUGUAAUAGAUAAACCACUCCAAAUCUUAGAGCCUGAAAACAACCAUCAAUCUCUUUUUUUUUAGAAAUUUAUUUAAUCUUAUUUUAUGUGCAUUAGUGUGAAGAUGUCAGAUCCCUUGGAAUUGGGGUUGCAGACAGUUGUGAGCUGCCAUGUGGGUGCUAGGAAAUGAAGCUGGGUCCUUUGGAAGAGCAGACAGUGCUCCUAAGGACCUCUCUCUCUAGCCUCAACCAUCAAGCUCCUGAGAUUCCUCUUGCUGUUUGUUGUUUGUUUGGUUUGUUUUCUUUUGAGACAAGGUCUCUCUACCUUGCCCUGGCUGUCCUGGGACGGGUCUCUAACUCACAGAGGCCUCUGCCUCUCAAGCGCUGGGGUUAAAAGCGUGUGCCACCGAGUCCAGCCAUCCCUUAAGACUCUUUGGUCAAAAAUGUUGGCAGGGCUUGGAUUAGCGUUUUUGGUCCUUUAUCGUGGGUCAUUGGUGUGGCUGUGGCACAGAUGGAAGGCCCAGCCAGGCCUUGGGCAGCUCACUGGUGCCUCAGUCUUUCCCAUGUGGUCCAGGCUUGCUAAUCAGAUGGCAUCCUGAUUCCUCAGCUGACCGGAAGCUUCUCAGAGCCAUUGGAACUCACACGGUUGUUCUGAGUUCGUGUGUCCUGCUUUCUUCUUUGUUAAUAGACACCCGCAUGGCAAGUGAUCUUUCAGCAUGGUGUUUCCAGGGAGGCUGCAACUCCUGUCAGAGGAUAAGGGAGGCUCCUUCUGACAGAGGCCAGCAAUGCAGGUCCUGCCAUGAGAACUCAGCAUGGAAGAUGGUGUUUUCUCCAUUUCUCUACCCGGAAAAAUUGCAAAUCUGGCUUAAAAGGAAACCACUCUUUGAAAUGCACGAAGCAACGCUUGAUGGGAUUUUUUACUUUCUUUUUUAAUUUUUAAAGAAUGGUCUGUUUUAUUUUGUAUGUGUGAGCAUUUUGCUCGCCUGCCUGUCUGGGCACUGUGGGCAUGCAGUGCCCGAGGGGGUCAGAGGAGGGUGUGGGCUCCUCUGGAACUGGGCUGCAGAUGGUUGUGAGCCGCCAUGCUGGGUCCUCCGCCAGAACAAUAAGUGCCCUUCUCAGCUGGGGCAGCUCUCCAGCUCUGUUCCAUGAUUGUUGUUGUUGUUGUUUGUUUGUUUGUUUGUUUUUUAAGGAAAUUUUGAAAAUAAAAACGAAAUGGUAGU